rnacentral:lncRNA from 1 species
UUGAGGAAUGGUCCACAAAGACCAGGAUUACCUAUGUAGUUUUCCUCAACAAAGCCUCCAAAUUGUCCUGUACUAGGUGGUGUUCCAGAGAGGUUGUUGUAUGACACAUUGAAGAUUUCUAAAAAGUUCAACUGGGUUAGUUCAUUUGGUAUCUUACCACUCAAGUUAUUGUAUGAUAAGUCAAGACUCUCUAUUUGGGUAAGAUUUGAAAAAGUGAUUGGAAUGGGACCUGACAAGUGAUUAUGUGAUAGAUUCAAGGCUCUAAUUUGUUGUAGGUCUCCAAUUUGGGAAGGGAUAACACCUGUUAAAUUAUUGCAUGAUAAAUCCAAUCCAGUCAUAAUCUCUAGAACUUUACCCUUGUAAAAGUAUUCAUUGUGCUUUGUUCUAAACUCCACUUCAAAUUGUAGAUUUUUCAACGAAUUUCCAAUCCAUGGAUGUCGAAUCAACAAACUAGCAUUGAAGGAAAUAGCUGUUGGAGCUUUGUACAUUGAGAAUUCAAAAAUAGAACCGUCAUCAUCAUCAUUAUGAACAUGUUGUCUCAUUCCAAAUGACAUAUUUUGGAAGCAAGAUGGUAUUGAAGCAUUGAGCAUGUUCCGUGAUAAGUCCAUUAUGGUGAUAUUUUUUAGAUGACACAAUUGAAUUGGAAUUUCUCCUUCAAAAUUGUUCCCUCCUAAUAGAAGAACCCUUAACUCUGAGAGCUUAUCCAUCCAAUUGGGAAUUUUACCUGAAAGUUUGUUCUCCCUCAAAUCUAGAAGUUGUAGUUUUGAGCCUUCAGAGAGUUCAGAUGGCUUUGAUCCAGAGAGAUCAUUCUGUUGCAAAUACAAGAACCUUAGAUAUUUAAAACUACUCAACUUUGGGAUUGCUCCAAUUAACUUGUUUUGAGAAAGAUCCAAAAUAUGAAGCCAUGGCAUGUUGGAAAUCUCAAUAGGGAUCUGACCUUCUAAUUGAUUUUGACCCAUAAAAAGGAACUGCAUGUGAGAAAACAUCCCAAUUGAACUAGGAAUUUUGCCUGUGAUUGAGUUAUUGGAUAUGGAUAGCAAUAUUAAUCUUCUAUUAUUUCCCUUUCCCAAUACAUCAUCAAGUGUUCCACUAAAGUUGUUAUUAUUGAGAAAUAAAACUACCAUAUUCACAAAUUUAGGAAUAUUCCCACAUAGAGAGUUGUUGGAGAGAAUCAAGUAUUGUAAAUUAUUGCAAUCUGCGGCCAGUUGUUUAGGUAACUCACCUGAGAAAUGAUUCUGAGAGAGGUCCAAGUACUUAAGUUUUUUCAUCUUACAAAUUGAUGAAGGUAUAUUUCCUUCAAAGUUAUUUGAUGAAAAAUUCAUAUAGGUAACACUAGGAAGGAAUAUACCAAUAUCUUCUGGAAGCAAACCACUAAAAUUGUUGUUUGAUAGAUCCAAAUAUUGUAUGCCAACAUUAUUUAUCAACCAACUUGGGAGUGAGCCAAUAUUGUUGCUAGAGAGGUCCAUCACUAUCAAAUUAUAUUGAUAAGAAAGAAAAGUAGGAAUGACACUUCCUUUCUUCAUGUUUAGGUUGCAAUUUCUAAGAAUGAGGGACUUCAAUUGAAAUUUAGGAAACCACUUUGUUUUUUCAGUUUCAAUGUGUACUCCAAUACUGUUUUUAGAUGAAAUAUAUAGAUGCUGAAGAUUGGAGUGAUUAGCCAAAUUGAUAAGUGAAAAUGAUCCUUGCAUGUAAUUUUCAUAGAGUGAUAAGAAUGUCAAGGAUGUGAGAUUGGUAGUGAAGGAUGGAAAAUUUCCACCGAACAGAUUAUGGCUAAGGUCAAGAAUUCUGAGGUUUGUUAAGUUACUUAAACACUCAGGAAGUUUAGCCCCAAACAUGUUUUUGCUGAUAUCCAGUUCUUCCAAAUCCUUCAAAUUGCAUAGUCCUGUCAUAAUUAACUAUGUCCGGUCAUCUUUCAAAAAAUUAACAUUAUCAUAAAAAUCUUAAAGUUUUUCCAAUGGACUCAAUAUAUAAAUUAAUUUACUUAUUUCAUUGUUUUUGUUAAGGUAUCUUCAUGGUAACAAUCCAUCCCAAAACCAUCCCGUAAAGUAAUUAGGAAAUACUGCCUUGGUUAGAUGAAAGAAAAUAUAUUUACAAAUCAACCCAAUUAAUUAUUUAUGUUUGAUAGUAUUGAUACCUUCAAUUGAGCCCUUCAUUUGAUUAUCGCUUAACCUUAACAUUUUCAAGUUUUUCAAAUGUUGAACAUCUGCAAAAAAGAAAGAAAAAAGAGUACAUAGUUAGAGAUAUAAUAUUCAAUAAAUCUGUAAGAACUAAGAAAUUUAAAGAAGAGGCCUUUGUGUCGGAGCUGAUUGACAUGGACACCAAGCAACAUAAGCGGGAUGUGAUCUUUACUUCAAUAUGAUAAAGAUGGCAUUUACUCAUUGAAGUCGGCAAACUAUCGCGUCAAAGAGAAAAUGACUAGACAAAAUCGAUAACCAUCUUUGGAUGAAAAUGCAGGUUUGUCGAAAUAUUUAUGGAAGCUAAAGGCGCUAGAGUGUGCAAAGAGUAUUAUGUGGAGAGUGGCAAACCAUAUUUUUUCAAAGAAAGAGAUAAGUCUUGGAACGUUCAUUUCACCAUUGGGAGUGUUCGACCACUACUAAUAAUCAUGAGAAGAAAUACUAUAUAUUGUUUAUUUUGUUCUAUUUUAAUUAAUUUACUUAGAAUUAUUUUAUUGAAUUUAAUUAAAGAUUGUAAACUCAUUAACUUAGAGCCUCUAUUGAGAAUAUGAUUUAUAAACAAACUGCAAAAACAAUGUCUGAAUUUCUCAAACAGAAUAAAUUUUCUUAUAAAAUGUUUUUCCAUAAAUAGUGGUAAUAAAUUUUGUGUUUCUUUGUAACCAUAAAUAGUAGUUGAAACAAAAAUAAUAGUAAAAGUACCUUCAACAUGUAGUGAACCAAUAAAUUGAUUACCACCCAAGUCCAAUAGUUCUAGCUGACUAAAUUUGGCAAAAUCUGUUGCAAGGACAUAAUAUUUUUUUUUUUAAAAUGAAACUAAAAACAUUUGCCAUAAUAUAAUAAUUGAAGAUGCGUACCUAAAGUGGAGAGAGAACAAUUGAACUCGUUAUCAUUUAGAAUCAAACUCCUUAAUGAUAUGAAACCAUGCAAACUUGUUAUGAUAUUGCAGUUUAGCUCAUUAUAGGAAAGGUCUAAGACCUCCAACUCCUUUGAUCUCGAAAAUCCUUCAACAAUAUACAUAAUGAAAAGCUUUUGUUAAUUAAUUUCAAUUCCUACCAAUGAUUCAUAACCACUUUUUCAUUUUAUUUAAAGUCUCUUAUCAUCGUUAAAAAUUAAUAUUUUCUUUGGGAUUUUAUAAUUGUCUUCUAAUUCAUUCACUUCAUCACAUAAACUCCAUAAAUAAAUUAUUGAAACAAAACGUACCUUGAACAUAGAAGUUUUUCAUCGAAUUAAAACCCAAGUUUAAAGUUGUUAGAGCAGUCAAUCCAUUUAAACUUGGCAAAAUGCUACUAUUUAGAUAAUCGUUCCCUGAAAGAUCUAAUGACUCCAAUCUUUUAAGUCUAGGAAACCCUUCAAAAGAAACAUGAUUAAUGAAAACAAUUUCUUUUUAACAGUUUAUUUCAACACUUGUUGCAAAAGAGAAAUAAAAGUCACGAAAAAUGAAGGAAAAAUACAGUGAACCAUGUGAAAUAGAAAAACAAACCACUCAAUUUGUCUCAAUUUGUCUAUAGGAAUGCAUUCCCUCACUGUGUUUUCUCACUUGCAAUUUGCUGAUGACACGCUUCUGCUAGGUGUCAAGAGUUGGGCGAACGCGCCUUGCGGUCAAUCCUUGUGAUAUUUGAGAAUAUGUCUGGCUUGAAGGUAAACUACAACAAAAGCCUGCUGGUUGGUAUUAACAUUGCUGAAUCUUGAUUACAUGAAGCCGCUUCUAUUUUGUCUUGUAAACUUGGUAAAACUCCAUUUAUGUAUUGAUAUACUAGAUAGGUCUUAUCAAGGCUGGAUUUGAAGGAUCCCACCAAAUUUAUACUAAUCCCACCAAAUUUAAUACUAGAUAGGUCUUAUCAACUCCGGUUGGUAAAAUUCUAAUGUUGAUCGAAAUUUAUACUAAUCCCACCAAAUUUAAUAAGACCUAUUGAUAUACUAGAUAACUAUAAAGAUAAAAAGAAUUCAUAUAUUUCAUUCAUCCAUAUGCAAGAUAUUGUAAAUACUAAAUACCGAUAUCUACUUUUAUAUUGUCAAUUAUUUAUAAUUUUUUUUGAAGGAGUUAUUUAUAAUUUUUAAAAUUAAUAUUAAAAUGUUAGCAUAUUUAAAAAAAAAAAAUCAAAAUUAACAAAAUUUUUAAAUUUGUUAACUAAGUCUUAUAAAUAAGUACUAAGGUAGCAUUGUUGAUCGAUAAAACAUACAAGAUUCAAACAAGCAGUCAUAUUCAUCAUGUGUUAAAAAAUAAAUAAAUUAUAGAAACAAAUGUACCUUGAGGGAAGAAGUUAUUAUCUAUGUUGUUAAAAUCGAGGUACAAAGUUGUUAGAGCCGUUAAUCCAUUCAAACUUGACAAGAUGCUACUAUUUAGAUUGUUGCUUGAAAGGCCUAAUGUCUCCAACUUUGUAAGUCUUGGAAAAUCUUCAAAAAAAGCAUAAUAAGUUAGUUUCAAAGAAACAUAGGAAGCUAGCUAUGAAAGAUGACGUUCAGUACUUUCUACACAAUCUUUUGAUUAAUGAAAAAUGUUUAUGUCAAUAGUUUAUUUUUAAAUUUGUUAGAAUAUGGAAACAAAAGUCAUGAAAAAUGAAAGAGAACAACAAAAUAGAAAAAUUAAUUACUCAAUUGGCCAAAAAAAUUACAGAGCUCGAUCCUAAAAUUAAAGAAUUUAUAAAAUCAUCGUAAAAUUAUAAACACUUUCAUAGUAUUAAUCAGUAUCUGAGAUUAUCUUAGAGAGACCAAAUUGAUGGAUACAAAGACAAAUAUAACUUAAUAUUUUUUAAUUAUGCUAGUAACACACUUUUUACAACACUAUAAAAGGCUUCAGUAAAAAUAUCUCUCUUGUACCUAUAAGAAAAAUAUCUCUCUUGUAUUAUGUAUUUUUUAAUUAUGCUAGUGAUAUACUAUUUACAACACUUAUGUUUGUAUUGGUUGAAAUUUAUAUUGAUCCCACCAAAUUUUGUAAGACCAUUGAUUUUUGAUUCGUAUAUAAGAUAUUGUAAAUAGAAAGUACUGACAUCUCUCUUAAUUGAGAUUUGAACAUUGAUUUUUCAUGUUGUAAAAUAACAAUCUUUUUUUAGAAAACUUAAACUCACCCGUCAAUAAUUGCUAAUUAUGACAAUAUAAAUUAAAAUGUUAACAAAUUUAACACAACAAAUAAAAAAUUAAUGAACUAUUUUAAUUUGUAGUAUAAGUUUAUUAAAGAAAUUUUAUAUAUAAGGACCAACAUAGUACCUUCGUUGCCAAUCCAGCCUUGAAUAUCGUUGUCGGACAAGUCGAGGAGGCGUAGCUCUUUAAAUGGACAGAACAGUGAAACAUUUAACAUCUUAGGAUCAGAGGUCCAAAAUAGUAACCGAUCAAAGAAUAAUUCAGUUAUGUGACCAGAAGAGCACUCGACUCUAUCCCAAACACAACAAUUGCUAUCUCUAUCAUCAACCCAUGAACCCAAUUCUUUGUCAUUAUAAGAAUCUCCUUCGUCUUGUUGUGACAAGAUGUAGUGCUUGAUCUCCAACAACCCUAUUCUCUCUUUCUCUAAGCAACCGUUACAUCCUUGAGUUAGCAUUAACAUCAAUGUCACAAAAUAUAAAAGGAAACUAAUUAUCAAACCCAGCUUCAUUUUUUUAGGAAUGUAUGUAGUAUAUUGUGAGCAGUUCUUCCCGACCUCAUAUUAUUAUAUUAUAUAUACUAAAAUUAUGGGAUAUUUUCUAUUACAAGAAACUUCCUCCAAGCAUAAGAAAGACUUGGAGUUGACUAGAGAUGAUGACAUUUAAGAAAGAUGCUAAACUUAUCUUACAUGAUAUUUAAAUACGUAUUACUUUCAUUAAGGAUUGAGUGGUAAAGAGGUCAUUUGUUCAACUCCUCCUCUAACAAAUAGUACAGUAAGUAAUUAACUAUACUAACGUCGGUCAUUAAGAAAAGUUUAACCAGAUUUAAAUAAGAUUAUUAAAGUUAUAAGAAGUAAAAUUCUCCCAAUUUACUUUUUUUUCUCCCAAUUUAUAUAUCAUUUUACAAUAUCAAUAAAAGAAACUAAAAUUAGCACAUGGACAUGUUUCCACAAUUAGGGUUGGAGAAGUUACAUUUUACUACAAACAAUUUCCACAAUAAUUUUUGAGCACAUCAACUCCAAUGAUUUCAAUGCUUUGCUUUUGCUUUUUGAGCACUAGUGGGGUUGCUUUUAACAAAGUGAAUUUCACUGCUCUCAGGUGAGUGCGGUACGCUUUUUUAAAAGUGAUAUACUUUUAAGAAUUAAUUAUCAAUGCCGAAUGCAAUUAGUCAAAUGUUUGUCUGAUUUUGGAGUUAAAAUCUUCUUAUUUUUUUAUCAUCUCCAUUUUUACUAUGAUAUUUGGUGGGUUUAAUUAUUUAAAGGUUCUUUAAAUACAUUAAUCAACUAGCAGACAUCAAGACUAAACCUUUGAAGUUAGAAGUAUUCUUCAAACUAGCGGAGAAAGUAUGUAUAUGUGAUAUGUCUAGCAUAGAUUGAUUGAUUUGUUUGUUAUUUGUAAACUGAAUCUUAGCUAUAGGAGUUUUCAUUUUAGGAGAGUGAUUGUUAGAUAUAAAAACUUGUUUUAUUCUCAUUAGACUGUUAGUUAUGGAGUUACUUGUUUUGCAAGUAAGCUAGUGUUAUGAAUUAAAGGAUUCCAUGGUUCUAGGUCAAAUGUAAUGGAAAGAUAGAUUUUGUAAUUCUCUAUAGAAGUCAUUACCAAGAAACAAUUGUAUAUAAGAUAGUGAUAUAGUACAUAGAUGUAGCUUAUUUAUAGUGACUUGGAGUAACUAACUCCCUAACUAACUUUCCACUAUAGUUACCACUAAGUAACUCUAGUUUAUGCUCACUAUACUCUAAUAGCUAGUUUGUUAUCAACUAACUUUUCAUACGACUCUAUAUAUGCCAUGUAUCAAUGCUGCUAAUCAAUGAGAAUCACUUUUACCCUACAUCUUCUAACUUUUUCCUUUCCCCUCUCAUAUUCAACCACUCAAGAAUUUUUAGAUAUUAAAAAAAGUUUAAAGUGCUUAAUGAAUAUGUCAAUCAACAAACCAAUUGCUGCACAAAUCGAGCUGGCAUAACUCUUCAUAGAAUAUAUUGUUGAGGGAUAGGUCCAUUAUAUGUGACCAGAAGAAAUGUUAGAGCAUUUAACUCAGUUCCAAGAACAAAAAUUGCAUUAACAUCAAUGUCACAAAAUAAAAAUGGAAACUAAUUAUCAAACCCAACUUUAUUUUUGAUAAAUGUAUGUUUAUUGUGUUACUAUGGCCGCAUCAAAAAGGUACAGGGACUAAGGAGUGUCUGAUUCUGUUCUUCUCCGUUAUAACAUAGAGAACAAAAAUCACAUAAACAACGAAAACAAAAUCUUAUUACGUGGUGACGAAACGUCGUUACGGCUGCAACGAACGGUAGGAAAUACAUUUAUUGUCUCAUUUGAUUUUUGUGUUUUUGUCUCUUCUAAAACGUUAAAACCUAAUUUAUUAGUGGUUGAUUUGGUUUAUAUAAGAAAAAAAGUCAUUACAAAAUUAUGAAAAGAAUUUUUUUUUUGAGAGAGAAAAGAAUUAUUGUUAUGAAAUUAUGAAGAAACAAUGAGAAAUUAAGUUAUUAUACAUUAUAUGAUAGUAUAAAUAAUUUUAAUAAUAUUUGUGCAAUGCUAUGAUUGAAAAUAACAUGAGAAAAUACAUUUGGCAUAACAUAAUUGGUUGACGCAAAUGGACAUGUGGCUAGUGAUUAAAAAAAUCAAGGAAGCUUGGAUUAUGCAUAAGUAUAGAAAUGGUGAUCAAUAAUAGGAACAAAGAAAAUUGUUGAAAUCUCUUUUCUCUCUUUAGUACUCUCUUGUACAGUAAUGACUUAAGUCUUUAGACUUAGUCUUCCUCUAUAUUUUUCUUGAUGUACUAAAAACACAAACUUUAAUUAGGUUUUCAUCUAUCAAUUCUACCUUUGUUUUCAUAUUUAAUUUGAGAUUAUACGUCUAUCACAUUCUCAAUCGUGUAAACCCUUACACGAAACAACCAAAAUCGCAAAAUCCUAACGCGACACAACCGUUAUUUAAAAUCGUGACUAGUUAUAAAUGUUGCGAGCAUAUGAGACCCUUGGUUUGGUGGUUUGGAGGAGGAAUAUAAUGAUUGAAGUCUAAAGAGGUCAUGAAAACUCAUUCCUAGUUCGUGAAGAAAAAAAAAAUCCUCAAAACCCACUCUGAAUUUAUAUAUAAACUUUUAAGUUUUGAAAAAAAAAAUUUGAACAAAGUUAUUUUCUAAGGUCACCUCCCAUCGACAAACUGCCUCUUAAAUAUGACAAGUGUGAUCUGAAUUGAUGUUGAUGGAAGGAUGUGAAGCACAAACUCAGAUACAGUUGCGACACGGAGAUAUGUGUCGGUGCGAGACACGAUACAUAUUCCACACCGGGACACACCCCUAACCCGAGGCGUAUUGUGCUUCAUGGAUGAAUAGAAAAGAAAAACAGUUAAGAAAAUGGGCAGUGAUUUAAGUUCAUUUUCUAUGAUGAAGGCUAUCAGCCACAUUAUGAUUCCCAGUGUAACUAGGCUAAGAAAGAGUAUUUAAGGCGCUUUUUAUUUUAUAGUAUGUUAUAUAUGGAAAGGAAAUAAUUGGCAGGUGGUUUUAGGAAUAAUAGAGUCGAAAUAAAAGAGAAACAAAUGAUUCUUGUUACAAUGUUGUUCUUGAUGGAUGGAACCGGAAAUCUUAAAAAUGUUUUUUUCAAAAAUGCUUUUGCUUUUUGAGCACCAGUGGGGUUGCUUUUAACAAAGUAAAAUUCACUGCUCUCAGGUGAGUGCGGUACGAUUUUUUAAAAGUGAUAUACUUUUAAGAAUUGUUUAUCAAUGCCAAAUGCAAUUAGUAAAAUAAUUGAGGUUUUGUUUGUCUGAUUUUGGAGUUAAGAUCUUCUUAUUUUUUAUCAUCUCCAUUUUUUUUUAGGGUUAAAUAUGUUUUUGAUCCCUAUAAAAUUGAGACCUUUUAAGUUUAAUCCUUGCUUAAUUUAAAUAGUUCUUUUAGUCCCUAAAAAAAAAUUUAUGCACUCAAUAUUAGUCCCUAUUCAAUUCAAAUAUGUUUAAUUUAUGCUUAAACUCUUAAGUUUUUGAACAAUUUUUUGCAUACGUGUUAAGAAUGUUACUAAAAAUUUCUCCGCAAAAAAUUAUCGCAAAAUUUGAUUUCUACGUCUAAGUUUUGUUAUUUUUAUCUUUAACUUUUGUCGUUUUAAAAAAUUCAUAUUAAAUUCGUUUCAUGUUGAAAAAUUCUAAAUAUUACUAAAUGAAUCUUUCAUAUUGUUCUAAAUGUGUCUCAAUAAAAUCGUUCAAAAAUUCAAGAGUUUAAGAAUAAUUAAACAAACUUUGUUUUAGCAAGAACUAAAAUUAUAAGUAAUUUAUUUUUGUAAGGACUAAAAAAAACUAUUAAAAUUAAGUAAGGACGAAACUUAGAAGUACCUAAUUUUAGAGGGAUCAAAAACAUAUAUAACCCUUUUUUCUAUUACUAAUUAAGAUUAUCAGAAAUAUAAAUAUAUUAAUAUGAUAUUUGGUGGGUCUAAUUAUUUAAAGGUUUUAUUAACGACUAACAAAUGUCUUCGAGGCCCUCAUUAAGAAUUUUAAAUUAAGAAAUUAUUCCUUAAAAAAGUAAAAUACUUUAAUUUUCAAACUAGUUAAUACACAAAUUUAAGGACUUUAAAAAAUGUUCCGUGGACAUUCGUAACAUUUUCUAUUAUUUAAUAUAUACUUUAAAAAUCUUCAAAGCUAUAGUAAUAAAUAAGGAAAAAUCUUAAAAAUCUUCAAAUUUAAUAUAUACUUUAAAAAUCUUCAAAGCUAUACUUUAAACAUUUUCUAACUUUUUCCUUUCCCCUCUCAUAUUCAACCACUCAAGAAUUUUUAGAUAUUAAAAAAAAGUUGAAAGUGCUUAAUGAAAAAUGGUCCUUGCGUUCAUAUAGUUUCAAGUAUGUCAAGGAUGUGAGAUUGCUAGUGAUUAGCCAAUGGUGCUUAAUGAAAAUGUCAAUCAACAAACCAAUUGCUGCACAAAUCGAGCUGGCGUAACUCUUCAUAGAAUAUGUUGUUGAGGGAUAGGUCCAUUAUAUGUGACCAGAAGAAAUGUUAGAGCAUUUAACUCUGUUCCAAGAACAAAAAUUACAUUAACAUCAAUGUCACAAAAUAAAAAUGGAAACUAAUUAUCAAACCUAACUUUAUUUCUGGUGGAGGACUUAACUCUCAGUUCCGCCAGAAACGUAUAUUAUACUAAAAUAUGGGACAUUUUCAAUUGCAAGAAACUUCCUCGAAGUAUAAGAAAGACUUGGAGUUGAAUAGAGAAGAUGGCAUUUGAGAAAGAUGCUAAACUUAUCUUGCAUGAUUAAAUACGUAUGUGAACAUCAGUAGUUUAGUAGUUGCCAAGGUUCUAAAAAAAGUUUUGUUACCGUGAAAAUGGCCACCGCAAAAAGGUACAGGGACUAAGGAGUGCCUGAUACCGUUCUUCUCCGUUUUAACAUAACGAACAAAAAUUACAUAAACAACGAAAGAUUAAAUACGUAUGUGAGCAUUAGUAGUUUACUUGUUGCCAAGGUUUUAUAAAAAGGUUUGUUACCUUGAAAAUGGCCACCACAAAAAGGUACAGGGACUAAGGAGUGUCAGAUACUGUUCUUCUCCGUUAUAACAUAGAGAACAAAAAUCACAUAACCAAAAAUCACAAAAACAAAAAUCACAUAAACAAAGAAAGCAAAAUCUUAUUACGCGGCAACGAAACGUUGUUACGGCUGCAACGAACGGUAGGGAAUAUGAAACACCCCUACUAGAAAUCACCUAGGAUAUCUAGCAUGUGUGUUAAACUUGGCGUCGGAUACAUUAAAAUUACAAUAAAUAAAUAUUCUCUGAACAAAUCAUUGAAUUUCUCGCGUGUUACCUCAGAAAUAGUUCCACUAACGUGUACUUUAUAUGGUCAAGCUGCUACUUCUUCUUCAUUACGAACCAUCCUAUCGUAUAAUAACUUGUAUAUCUGAAAUAAAUAAAAGGGAUUGGGAUGAGACAAGAUGUUUCACUGAGUUCCACCUAUCCUAGGUUGUAGGCAACCUCGGGGAACCUAGGAUCGCCAUUUGUUUCUAAACUCAACCCAUUUUAGGUUUAUACGAUUUCAUUAUGCAUAACUGAGCGAUCAGAGGAUUAACUCUAAUUAUAAACAUAUGUCCAAUAUAUUGUAUUCUGGGAUAGCUUAUACUUUGACAUACUUAUCUACGUAUGUCUCUGAUUCUUUUUUGAUAACAACUUGUUUCGGCUAACUAAGCCGGAGUUCCAUAACUAAAAUUCCUCAUUUCCAACAAUUGGCAAAUACCCAUAAAAUAUUGCUCGCAAAUAAUUCAUUCUAAACAUAACUUUCAUGUUAAUAUGCGUAAAUCCCAUAAAAUAUUUGCUCGUAGAUAAUUCAUUCUAAACAUAACUUUUAUUGUGCAUUUGGACCACAUUACAAAUUUUAUUGUGCAUUUGGACCACAUUAUCUCUUAGUUGUGGCGAACGGAGUUUUUUUUUCUUCUCAAUUUGUUACUAUGAGUCGUACCUCAUAGGCUACAUUAUCUCUUCGUUGUAGCAAACAGAGUUUUUCUCAAUUUGUUACUAUGAGCCGUACCUCAUAGGCUACAUUAUCUCUUCGUUGUAGCAAACAGAGUUUUUUCUCAAUUUGUUGAUAUGGGUCGUACCUCAUAGGCUACAUUAUCUCUUCGGUGUAGCAAACAAAGAUUUUCUCAAUUUUUUUUUCUUUCCUUUUUCUUUCUAUAAGCAUGUUACUCAUUUCAAUUUUUCUACUCAUUUCAAUUUCCUUUCAAAUCAUUACUAUAAUUAUAUACACCAAUUGCGUUGAUAGAAUUUCCCUCCAACAUUUAUACUAGCAUAAACAUAUAAAUGAGAUUUUAGAAUAAACAAAUAAGGAUACCUAAUUCAGAAAUAAUCAUUCUACUAUCUCAUAUUAAUUCUGUUUCAAAUGUACCAUUCAUUGGCAUGAUAGUCAUGCUUGCACAAUCGGCAAGUAAUCAUAAAAAUGGUCUAAUUAUUCAUGUUAUCUCAAUAAUCUAACAUAAUCAUAAUUGAUCCCCAAAGGUGGGUUCUAAGCUAAAGGAACUCACCUUGGCAUUAGUCCCGAAAUUGCAAGCAGCUUAUCCACAAUUUGCAGCUUUUGCUAGCUCCAAAACUCCAUAAUCCAUUUUCCAAAAUAGCUUAUGUCUUGGCUUAUAGGUUUUUCUCUUUCCGAAACAACUCAGCUCAUUUGUGACAUACUCUUACUUCAUCAACCAGCAUAUACAAAAAAAUUCCAUUCCAGUCCCUGCACCGGAAGUUCGCCGUUUGGCUAUUUAAGCACGUCCAAAACAGCUUAAUUACCAUUUAAGCACCUUUACCAUGAUUAGAACACCUUAUUCUUUUUCCAUUGCUCAUAUAACAAUUCAAAAUAUCUCUCCUAAACUGUUCAUUACAAGACACAACUUAAAUUCCAACUUAAGCUAUUAUCCAAAGGGUUUAACUCGCAACUUACGACUUUUGACACAACAGUUCCAACGUGAAUAAUCAGCCCUAUGAAUCACUUAUACAGCAGUGUAAACCACAACUUAGUCAUUUAAGGCAUUUUACUUAAAACAGCUUAACUGACAGCUUAUGCCCUCUAAACAAUUCAAUUUCUAUUCUAAUUUUCCAGAAUCAAAGAAAACAUGUAUACAUAUCUCCUAACCCAUUUCUACGAAAUUUCAUCAUGCUAUGCUUAAUAAUCACUUGUAAUAGUUUAUAGAAACAACUUACACGCUUUAAGUCCUAAAUUCUCACACCAAUGCUCCUAGCUUAUAAUCAUUCUUCAUACCAUGUUUCUAAAUACCUUUAUUACACAUAAUCAUCUUCAAUUACACAUUCAACAUACAACAAAGCUUACACUAAAUAAAUUUCCAUGAAAAGGUGAUCAUACCAUUCACCUUAUGAUUGAUCCAUUCUUUAAUGCUCUAAGGCAAGCUCAUAAGUUAUUUUCCAUGAGAUUACAGUGAGAUUGAAGACCUGGAAAAUCAUGGAGGAAGGGGCUGUUGAGACUAAACAUAAAGGGAGGAAGAAAUUUGAAGUUUGCUUCUUGCUUAAGCCACUCCUAGAAGCACAUAUAAAUGAUUUCUUGCAUGAUUACUAAAAAAAUUUUGAUGAAAAAUUGAGUGGGUGAGGGUGAUGGUGAGAAGGUGGAAGAAGGGGGUUAAAAUUGCAUUUAAGCCAUUUUUAAAAAAUCUUAAGUGCCAAAAGACCACAAUGCCCCUCAAGUGAAAAGACACAAUCACCAUCCGUUAAUACGUAACCAUUAAAUUCUUCGAGUUCAUUGGAAUAAUGAGCGAGAUGUUUACAGACUAAUGUCUCAUUUCUCAGUAAAUAAUUAACCCCUUUAACAAUUAUUUAUGUUCUCACAUGUAACUGAUACGACAAUUUAUUACAAAUUCAGCGGGAUAUUACAAGAAUAGAGAUUACACUGUAGAUAUGGCUGUGGAGCUUACACGUAUGAUUAUUUCUAUGUCAUUUAUACCAAUUUUGAUUAAUAACCAAUUGUAUAUUUUGGUUUAAAAUUUAUGUGCCUCUUUAGUACAAUUUUGAGGAACUUUUCAUCUAUUAAUGUUUUUUUUCUUCUUCCUAAUUGUAGCCUACACUGUAAAUGGUACAUCUACAGAUGAGGUAAAAGUUAAGCAUGAACUUUGUUGUUCCUUUUAUUCUCUGAGUAUUGAAGCUUCAAACUCUUCCACUUACUAGCUGAUUUGUUUGUUUAGAUUCCAGUUAUACCCGGGACUUUGGAAGGGCUCUUUCAUUCAUUGAAGUACAGUUAUGGCAAUUUUUCAAUUUACAUUCAUGAAAAUGGUAAGUCUACCUUAGAUUAAAAAAAAAAAAAAACAACAAUUCUUCUUUUGAUUGCUAUUACAAACUGACAACAUAGAGUAAAUUAUAUAAGCAUUAAUAUGAAGAAGAAAAAAAAAACAUAAUAACAUAUUCAAUAGUUUUAAAUCAAACCAAUACAGACAAGUACAUCACACAAACAACAAUAAAAAAAAUAAAAGGAGCUUAAAAUCAAAUGUCUCAGCAUCAAACUGUCUGAAAUUAAAGUUAAAUAUAAAAAUUACAAUACCCAAAUAUUUGAGACUCCACAUAAAGUUUCAACAGGUACUACGGACACUCUUUAAUACAAUGGAAAAGUUGGAAAAAAGAUACCUACAAACUUACUAAUGUAAUAAAACCAGGCCAAACGCCAACGUGGAUUGAUGCAACACUGUUAUGAAGGUCAGUAGUAUUGUUAUGUAAGAUGGUGUGAAACUCCAAUAAAAUGUUAUCAUGUCCACAUUUGUUUCCUCUUCUUCAUUGUCAUUGGAUUGUGAUGAUGGUGAAGACUUGGCACCUUCACACUUUCGGUCGAGGAGUGGUCCACAAAGAUCGGGAUUACCUCUGUAGCUGUCCUCAAUGAAGGUUGCAAACUGUCCUGUACUAGGUGGUGUUCCAGAAAGGUUGUUGUAUGACACAUUGAAUAUUUCUAAAGAGGUCAACUUGGUUAGUUCAUAAGGUAUCUUACCACUCAAGUUAUUGUAUGAUAAGUCAAGGCUUUCUAUUUGGGUAAGAUUUGAAAAAGUAAUUGGAAUAGGACCAGACAAGUGAUUAUGUGAUAGGUUCAAGGCU